GCUGGUCCGCCAGGCUGCAGCAGGUGAUGCGGCUCAAGGCCCUUGCUGGGCACCAUCUGCAGGCGUUGAUUGCUCUGCGUCUCCUUGGUUCACGCAUGAAAAUAUGGAUGACUCCGAUCUGGAUGAUUGAGCAAUGAUGUGGUGAUUGCUGCAGGUGGUAUUUGCAAUCUUGAAGUAUAUCGAUGCAAAUGGAUGGUCGCUCCUUUCUACAAAGUUUCAACUAUGCUUUGUGACUUUCGUGCAUGGUCUAGAUCAAAACUAAUGGCUUGUUUGCCUAAGAUCUUAUUUGGCAUUAUGUUUAGUUAACGAUUUCUUAUAGACUUAUGUAAUGUUGAAGUGUCGAUGUGAUGGUGUUAUUCUCCACCA